rnacentral:lncRNA from 1 species
GGGAAUAUAGACACCUCUGCCCUAAUAAGAGGACUCACCCUGUAAGAGGGGCAUGUGGAAUGGGAGGUAUUAUGGCUGCCAUCUUUAGAAAUUACAAUUUGCCACAGGUUGUGUUCCCUAGAAGCAGAGGUUGAAAUAGGGGUUCUUUUGUGAGUUAAGGAAGAGGGAGAAGCUAAGCGAGGAUGUAGCUUCAGGUGAAGUCCAGCUUCAACCUGAUCUUGUAGGCAGCACUGGAUCUCACAUUGUCUGCAGCAUUUGUCCUUCCUUGAGGCAAAAAAGUGGGGCUUUUGUACACACAUAUCAGUCAACCCUUAGCUUAGGGAAGCCCCAGGGGAAGGGUUGUAACUCCUAGGUAUCUCGUAGACAGGCAACUCCUCUUGCUUAAAGGCAUUUCCCAGACAAGGCUUGCUCUGUGAGCCUUUAAUAGCAGUUAAUAAAAAGAUUGCCAGAGAUCUGAUUGGGACUGCAACAGCCUCAGCUACAUUAAGAUAUGGGGGCACAUUCAAGGCCUGUUUUAUAGAGACUAGCAGCUCACUCCAAAAGUGGAAAGGAGAAGCAAUGUCACAGGAAAAUCGGAAAGUGAUUACCAGAAGUGGGAUAAGACCAGACAGGAAAAAUACCCCAAACAAAGGAAAGUAAAGACCAUGUAAGGAAUUCAGUCACUGGUGAACUAGAACAGCAGGUUAAAAUGAUCAUGGUAGGCACAGUGACUCCAUUCAGAGCUCAACAUCCCUGAACCUACGUUGCAUCAGAUUCCUCUACCCAGGGACAAUCUUGAUUCCAGAAUUGAGAGCAAGAGUCAUGCAGUUGAAGACUCAAUCACCCAGGAGAGGCAGGUGGCUCCGGCUUUGGGGCUGGAGGAUUUGAAAGCAGGCUAAAAAGUCAUCACAAUUUUGUUCUCCACUAGGCCAGAGGGCUUUAGUGACCACAGAAGUUUUAAA